rnacentral:rRNA from 1 species
CACGUAGGGGACGAGCGUUGUCCGGAUUCAUUGGGCGUAAAGAGCUCGUAGGCGGUGUGUCGCGUCGGUCGUGAAAACUUGGGGCUUAACCCUGAGCUUGCGGUCGAUACGGGCAUGACUGGAGUUCGGCAGGGGAGACUGGAAUUCCUGGUGUAGCGGUGAAAUGCGCAGAUAUCAGGAGGAACACCGGUGGCGAAGGCGGGUCUCUGGGCCGAUACUGACGCUGAGGAGCGAAAGCUAGGGAGCAAACGGG